GCUGAGAUGUCCGAGCGGUCUAAGGAGCUGGAUUCAAGUCUCUCAUCACGGCUUACAUGAUCAACGUGUACUUCCCAGUAGAGAAAUCUGCGGGGUUCGAAUCCCCCUCUCAGCA
rnacentral:tRNA from 1 species